UACGGGGGGGGCAAGCGUUGUUCGGAAUUACUGGGCGUAAAGGGCUCGUAGGCGGCCAACUAAGUCAGACGUGAAAUCCCUCGGCUUAACCGGGGAACUGCGUCUGAUACUGGAUGGCUGGAGUUUGGGAGAGGGAUGCGGAAUUCCAGGUGUAGCGGUGAAAUGCGUAGAUAUCUGGAGGAACACCGGUGGCGAAGGCGGCAUCCUGGACGAAUACUGACGCGGAGGAGCGAAAGCCAGGGGAGCAAACGGG
rnacentral:rRNA from 1 species